UACGUAGGGUGCAAGCGUUAAUCGGAAUUACUGGGCGUAAAGGGCGCGUAGGCGGCGCAACAAGUCACUUGUGAAAUCUCCGGGCUUAACCCGGAGCGGCCAAGUGAUACUGUCGUGCUAGAGUGCGGAAGGGGCUACUGGAAUUCUCGGUGUAGCGGUGAAAUGCGUAGAUAUCGAGAGGAACACCUGCGGCGAAGGCGGGUUGCUGGGCUGAUACUGACGCUGAGGCGCGAAAGCCAGGGGAGCGAACGGG
rnacentral:rRNA from 1 species